rnacentral:rRNA from 1 species
UACGGGGGGAGCAAGCGUUGUUCGGAUUUACUGGGCGUAAAGGGCGCGUAGGCGGCCACCGCAAGUCAGUUGUGAAAGCUCUGGGCUUAACCCAGAAAGGUCAACUGAUACUGCGGGGCUAGAGUGCAGAAGGGGCAACUGGAAUUCUCGGUGUAGCGGUGAAAUGCGUAGAUAUCGAGAGGAACACCUGCGGCGAAGGCGGGUUGCUGGGCUGACACUGACGCUGAACUGCGAAAGCUAGGGGAGCGAACGGG